UUGUAUUGCCACAGUAAUAGUAAUGGUCAGUUUUAUAAUUAAUAUUAAUAUUAGGCAUGAACUACUAUGUUUCUUAUAUAGUACACUAAUAACAGGAGGUACCCUCGUCCUGUGCUAAAUUAUACUUCCUUUCCACAGUGGUUACAAACAAAACAAACGAAAGCUGGAUUUUACAAGACGUUUAGCAAUGCCAUACAAGUUGUACUAUCUACAUGAGUGCAUGAAAUGUAAAUCAAGCAUUUUAAUGAUAGAAUAAUAAGAGACUGUCACCCAAAGGUUGACAGGUCUGCUACGUCUUACUCGUUGUGUUUUAUUGUUUAGUUUUUUUCACUUCGAAAUAGUAGAAAGCUUAGUUUGCUUUUGAUAGAAUAUAAAACUAAUUGCUUACCUUAUGCAACCGUCUGGUAGCGUUGUAUAGAUAAAAUAUUCCUAACCUUACCUUGAAGAGUGUUUGUUUGAGAGCUUUUUCCCUGUUCUUCCUCCAAACCCAAACCAAUAUGUCUAUGUUUGAAACUGCCCGCCCUCUGACGUCAUAUCUGUCUUUUUAGGCUAUUUCCGCUGUAAACAUGGCCAUUCACAGAUUAUGCUUCAUCUGUUUCUUGAAAAUUCGUGUCAAAAUGUUCCAAUACUGUCUGACAUUGUUUAGAUGCAUUUAUCUUUGUUUACAAAGAAUCGUAAAACAAUGAAAUGUCAAAAACAUCGUCAAAGUGCAAAGUUUUAGACCACAGUACACCGCGCAUGCGUGUGGGUCAGGCGGCUAAAUUCAAAACCAAGACGUUAGCAUCAGACAUCAGGCAGCGGAGCUAAAAGCUGUCUUUACCAGCUAUACGCGGCUCUGUCAUAUAUAUAUGUAACCUAAAUGCAUCUCUUUGUACUAACGUGAUUACAACGGUAUAUCAGUACAACCUCGGAGGGAGUUACGAGAUAUCUGUUAGACAAGGAUGGAUCCAUUUGAUCCUGUCAGGAAUGAGGAGGGUGGACAAUCCAAGAGGCGCACAUCUAUUUUAAAGGUGCCACGGAAAUCCAUUGUAACUUCUGAAGCAGUACAACAAGACAAAGUGGUGGAAUGUGUCCAGCCGUCGGAUAAGAGAAUUUCAAGAAGAGUCAGUUUUGCGCCAGCAAAUGAUGUGCAUUUAUUCGCAAAUCCGCUACAGGAGCUGAUGCCUGGUGGCACUACACGAAAUGCGAAUUGCGUUCAGAUAAACGCAAUUGAAGACCAACAGUUCAUUGGAUUGGAGGCCUUCCUAAAUACCCCAAAACAAAUAUUGCAACGCAAAGAUCAGGCCAGUGCCAGUGGAAGCAACUUUGGAGAGAAAACGGUUAUGUUUCAUGCAAAUAAUAUGGACAUGACCCAAUGUGACACCAUGAAAAUUAUAAAUGGCGAAGAGUUACUCAAUACAUCGUAUGGCCUCCUUCAUGGGCGCGGGGAAAAAACGAUUGUAUUUGAUAGAUCUAUGGAUAUGACCUUUAGCCAAACUAUAAACAUGUCGUGUGACCAAGAUGUAUCAUUAUCAGGGAAGCCAACACCAAGUGUUUUCCCUUUUACCUCUUCUACAAUGACCCAUGGGACAGAAUUCUGCUCAUAUGUCAACAUUGACAAAGAAAAUCUAGUUCCAAAGUUAAAUAGCCCCAUGACAAAAAAGCUGGGGGUCUUAAUGUGGGUUUGGUAAGCUCUGAGGAUGAUUUGGGUGUGUCUAAGGCCAAUCCGCUUCAGUGUUUAUUUCAACAAGAAAUCUACGCAGAACCUAACAGAAGAAAAUCUCAAAGUACCUCAAAAGGUAUGAACAUAUUCAUGGUCUAUAGAUUUGAUUGUUGAAAUUGUCCUGCUGAAAUCUAUUGUUUUCACCCCCACUCUAGAUAACAUUACCUGUGAGCCCAUUGAAAAAGCCUCCAACCGAAAAGUGAGUGUCAAAGUGAGCGUUAUGAAUAUGCAGCAAAAAAUAGCUAACAUUUUUCUUUCUUUCUUUUUUUUUCUUUUUUUCUUUCUUUUUUUUAUUGGCAUCAGGUCAACUU
ensembl:lncRNA